CAAGGUAGCUGUGGUGAGACUGCAUUGAAAACAGUUGUUAAGUCAUCUUGUCCUGUAAUGCUGCAGCUGGGCAUUGUCUGGGAGAGUGCUAGUUGUUGUGGGCCAACAUGAAGGACAGUUGUGGUAACAACUCGGAUGAUACUACGAAGUGACAAGUGAAAACCUCAACUGGGUGGCUGAAGAAGCAGGAGACAGUGAGAGGACAAGUGAGAGCAGAACAGCUCUGUGACAUUUAGAAACAAACAGCUGUCACUUCUAGAAGCCUCCUGCUUUUCUGUCAGAUUUCAAGAAAAACAUUGAAUACAGGACAAUACUAAACCCAGUUUUCCAUGAAAGGAUUCAACUGCUGAAGUGGGAGGUGACUGUGCUGCUGCAUUUGGGAGCCUUUUGGAGUUGAGGCAGUUCUGAUGAAGAUAUUUAUCCAGAAGGGAACGAUCAUCUGUGCAAUAUCAAAGUGCUUGCGCGUGGGUGGAACCACAUAUUGGGAAUACUCUUUCAUGACUAUUUUAAUGUUGUUAUUUUAAUUGUUUAGUUGAACAAGACUGAUCUGAUGGGGUAUGCUAAUAACUAAAUCCCUCUGAGAGGAACCUGCCUCCAUUCAUUAACAUCACUGACCAAGAUUAGUUGCCAGCAAGUUCUUACGGGAGAUGACAGAAUAGAAUGUGAUGCAUUAGCACUCCCUCAGACAUUCAGCUGGGUUUUAAAGAACAAGUUCUCUUUCAGGACAACCUAAAUCAUGUUUUGAGAAAGUGGUGGAUUUGCUACCUGCCUUACAUCCAUGUAAGCUUCACAAUUAUUUUAAGGCUGCCACCAGCUGUUGAGCCAAAUGCUGGAACCCCUGGAUCAGGCUGUAUGGCCUGUAUUGUUAUCUAGGACAAACAAAAUGAUUUAUGUUGGACUCCAUAAUCUUACGCAUCUUUUCCAACCUAAGUGAACCUCUGAUUGUAGAAGGCCACACUGGUCUUAAGAACUCUGACUGACUCUACAGGCUUGUCCACCCCCUAGCUGCUGAGCUUGAGCAGUAGGCUCUGGCACAGAAGUGCAGCUCAGACCCUUUUGCCCCAUCCACGCAAUCUGGCUUGGACUUGAGAACAGCAGUGGGCAGGACAGAGCAGUGCAAACAGGCCAGGUUCUGCUGCCCCACUUUGUGCAGGGUGUCUGCAAGUAAAGAGACCAUAAAACCAUUCCAGUGCAGCACCUGCGCUAAUACACAUUGCAGUCUCAGCAUGUCUUGCUCUUUCAGUGCUUCUUAAUGAACACAACACAAAUGAAACCACAGGACUUGAGUGCAAUUGGUUGGAGGAUCUAUAAAUUCAAAUUAAGCCCUUUUGCUUUACUGAUCGUUGCAGACAGGCCUUAAAGAGGAGUGCCUGGAAACCAUUCUCAUCACUGUGACCAGUGCCCUUUAUUUAUUUAU